rnacentral:rRNA from 1 species
AUGACGCCCUAUAGCACGAAGCGGUCGGCAUUGAUGCCGCUCGACAUGACCGGACGAAGGGCGGUGCUGACCGACGCGACCUCUCGGCAGCAUCCGCUUCAAUACGGACACAACUUCCCCAGGAACCAACUCCGACCGCUGAGCUGCAUUGAAGCAGCCCCUUCGCCUUGGCCUCGUCGAGACCAUUUAAUCCGUACGCCGGCGUCACCCAGAGCCGCACUCCACCUCCCCGACCAUCGCCCCCCUCCCCCGUCUUCAUGCCCGAGCCCCUCCUCCUCCUCGCCCCUAGCUGAGCGAUGCCGAAGUCAUGGUGCUCCGCACCGACAGGCGGAUGGCGAUGAAGACGCGGUGGUGCCGCAAUUGCCGCGACUCCUAAAGGAGGCCGCUACGGACGAAGAUUUCGUCCAUCAGAUCAGGAUAAUGACGGAGCGGUCGCUCCAUUACAUGGGCCCGUCGCCGCCAUCGCCGGCGGGUGUGAAGGAGGAGCAUCCGUCCCUGUCGCUCUACCGCAUGAAUCCCGAGCCGACAUCCCCACUCUAUCUUGUGAAGGAGGAGUCGACCUCGCCCCGGCACAACCGCGGCGUCCAGAUAAGAUGCCGAGUCCGCCUCGCACCUGCACCACCGCGGAGUCCAGAUCGGACGCCUGGUCAAGGAGGAGUCGGCGUCCCUGCCACAUCGUCGGUACGGCCGCCUGGACGCACCAUCAUCAUCGUCGCGCCGCCACCGCCUCACCGCCAAGGAGGAGCUGCCACCCGCGAUCAAGAAGGCUGUCCACAGGUCGCAGGAUCGAGGUCAUGGAGUCCUGAUCCCGUUGUACCGUCGAGGAAAGAAUCGAGAGAAGAAUCGAAAGAACGUAUCGAUCAGGUUGCUUCGCCUUCUCUCAAUUCGAUGGAGUCUAUCACAGCGCCCUCGUCGGAAUUGAGCAAAGCCGCGGCAACCACCCGCCCUUGGGCCUAUCUCUCGCCGGAGCUCCUCGCCGACGUCUGCGCUUGUCUGCACGACGCCACCGACUUCGUCCGUUUCCACGCCGUCUGCCAGCCGUGGCGUGACGCACAGCAGUCGCAGCUCUCACCGGUGGAGACCCGGCCGCGCCAAACGUUCCAGCCAUGGCUCCUCUCGCAGCGCAUAGGACGCAUCAUCAACUCUCACGUGAUCUACUUCGGACGCCACGUCUCUUCCCAGCCGACGCAGAGCGGCCACCGCGGCAGCAACAAUGGCAUCGUUCUUGUGGAGCCGGCCGAGUCAUCUGCCGGCGACGAAAGGAACUGGGUGGCCAGCGCCGACGGCAGGUUCGCCUGGCUCUUCGCUGGGGGUUCCGAGCCAACACUCUUCAACAUUGUCACCGGAGAAGUCAAGCCACUGCCUCCCUUCCCGGACCAGGAUGACAACAACGGGAUCGGGCGACGGCUGAUGAAUCCCUGUGGCAUCGUCUAUGGCGACGGCACCAUAUUUCUCUAUACCUUUGAUACCGAGUCAGCCCGCAGCCACCACGCAUGCGCCGCGUAUCACGACGGCAAGGUCCUUGUGUGGGCCAGCGUGUUCUUCUGGUGCAUCUUGACACCAAACUUCGGAUUUGGAGGCAAUGUCGUUUUUUUUUGCGGGGGUGGAGGCAAUGGCGUUAACAAUGCCGGUGUCCACCUUGAGACGACGUGGGAUAAGCUUGAGGAGGAAUAUUAUGAGCGAGAUCAAUGCUAUAUUAUCGAGUCCCGAGGCGAACUGCUGUGGGCGUCCGUGCUAGUCGAGCACGAAGGACGCCAUGAUGAUGCCGAGGGCAUCAUGGCGUCCAAGCUGGCGGUGAGGGUGCAUGCCCUAGAACAUGAAGUGGAUGGCAGCGACAAGAUGCGGUGGGUAGAGAGGGGCGACCAGGACUUGGACGAUCGUGUCAUGUUUCUCGGGUCCCCGGCAAGCUUCGCCGUCGAUGCGACCGAGCUGGGCCUGGAUGGUGGGUGUGUCUACUUUGUCUACAAGCAUCGCGUGUUCAGGUACAACCUCGUCAAUGGCAAAGCCAACUCUGUGGAGUGGAUGUCCACCGCCGGUACGGGUUCCGACAAGGCGCAUGUCUGGCUCCGGCCACAACCUGUAGUUGCUCCAAUCCAGGAAAUCCGUGAAAGGCUUGAAACAAGAAUUUUAGUUGGCGGGGACAACAAACGGAGUUGCACAAAGUCUGCUAGGCAGUUGGCCGGAGCAAUAUAUGAAGUUGCACAUCUAAUGGGCAGGGACAGUUGGAUGCCAAUAACCCCCAGAAAAGACAAGAGCAUUACCAAGAGCAUCCAGAUUGACAUUAGAACUAGCAGCCACAAGAACCAAAUCCAGAUAAGGUGCCACGGUGGCUUACCCGCGCGCACCCGCUCGGUAACUUUCGCAUUCGUCUCGGUCGCUCCAUGUAGCCUGGUCCGGUCGAACCCAACCGGAGCCAGCCGCACUCUGUCCCUCUCCUCGCCCCAUCGCCCCGUCUCUCCAGCCGCCGCCGCCGCUGCUCGCCGCGCAGACCGCCGCGUCCGCCACCGCCGCCACGCCAUGGUCUUCGAGGAUGAGAGCAGCGACGACUUGUCCAGCCUGCAGAUCUCCUCGGACGACGACGGGAUGCAUUAUCAGAUUCCUGCUUGCAUUGAAGACCAAGACUACAAUGGCUUGCAGAAGGCACCAGAGAGGCUCUGCGUGGAGCAUCGGCUGCCAACUGAGCGCCGUGUAGCUUUUGAAUCAUUUGAGACUGUCAGGAGGUUUCUCGUUUGUGCUCAGCUUGAAAGUUUGAUGCUCUCUCAUGAAGCUGUCAAUUGUGGUUUCCUUGCUUGGGCUGACCCAGAGUGGCCUCCCACAAUGCAAAAUGCAUUGUUGAAGCUUUGGGAAAUGUUUGAAGACAACAGGACUGCUAGGAGGAAGGAUAACCUGGAAAGUUCACUUACUAUCCACCACCUUAAAAAAGAGGAAAGGAAACUGGAUGCCAACUAUGACAAUCUAGUUAAAGAUGUCAAUCAACUUCUCAAUGCCCAGGAGAACAGGGUGUUGGAUUUAAGUUAUGUGCAGGCUAAGGAGAAGAAAGCUGAGGCUUCCACUGCAUCAGUUGUGGCUGCCAUGAAGAAUGAGAUGGAGAAGAAAGAGGCAGAGAAAUUCAAGAUGCAAGAGAAGUACAAAAUGUUGAUGAACCUGGUAGAAGCUCAAGGCAGUGGCAUUAGGAACCUGAAGAUGAAUCAUUCGAAAGAGAAGGAAAAGCUAGCUGAAGGCAACAACAAUUUAAAGAUUCAGGUUGAUGAGCUCACCCAGUCUGUGAAAAAACUAACAGAAGAGAAUGUGCAGGUUAGGCGACGGCAAAGACGAUUCCUGAGCGGGCCGGGGGUGGAGGCGAUCUCGCAGGCGGCGGCGGCGGCGGCUGCGUCCAAGUCAAUGUCCAUGUCGUGGUCUUCGGGUCGUUCUCGGGCUCCCAGCUUCCGUCGAGCCUCUGGAAGGAGAGGGGACGAAUCGAGGUCGCCGGUGCCCUGCUGUGACAGCCCGAUGGCGUAUGAGCCGGAGAAGCUCUGCUGGUGCAGGCCGCGUAGGAAGGCGCCGAGAUGUAUCUCAUGGAGCCAUCAGAACCCAGGCAGGAGGUACUACGCCUGCGUGGAUGCCAUGCAAGGUGGUUAUGGCUACGUUGAAUGGCAUGAUGAUCCUCUCCCGAAGUUUUUGAGUGAUUUGAUUGGAGAUUUGCGAGAUGAAGUGCGUAGGCUGAGAGGAAGAGACGUGCUGGCUUUGGAAGAUCAGCUCAAGGAGAAAAAUGCUGAGAUAGAUGCACUGAAGGGGAAAUAUCAGAACGUUGUCUUUCUUUUUCUUGUCUUUGUGGUAGGUUUAGUGACAGCCAAGAUGCUACUGCGAUUUGGAGCACCAGAAGUAGAAGGAGCAGAAGAUGAAGCUCCUGCAGAAAAUCUUGGGGCAGUGAAAGGCCUUGCAAAUCUUGCACUUGCACUAGCUGACCCUCUAGCAGAUCUUGAAGAAGAUCUUGCAGUAGCAGAUCUUGCACUAGCAGAUCUUGCAUAA